rnacentral:lncRNA from 1 species
GACGUAGUCUUGGUUUCAAUUAAAUCGAAGAUAGCUAGCUACAACUAAAUGGUGAUUCAAUGUUUGGACAUUAUAUGGGUUUCCGAAACCAUUAUUAAGAUAGUCUUGAUAAUACAUGUCUAAAACUAUAAAUCACAAGACAUGUAAGUUGUACAGAUCCAUCCAUCAUGAAUCUAAGCAAGCUAGUGGGAGCUAUGAGCAUCUUAUGAGAAAAGGUUCAAAUUGUUUGAUUUCUCAUAAAGAUGUAAAUGAAUCUUUUGUUUACUAGGUUUACAAAAGAUUAGUGGGAGUUAAUCAUAUUCCUAAAUUUAAAUAUAUAUUUGAUAUAUUAAUUUUGGAAAUGAAAAGAAAACUUCUUCAUUAAAGUUAUGACUUUAAACAUUCCAUAACGAUAGAAUGUAUAUGGGAGUUAAUCAUGUUCCUAAAAUUUAAAUAUAUAUGAUAUAUUAAUUUUGGAAAUGAAAAGAAUACUUCUUCGUUAAAGUUAUGACUUUAAAACAUUAUAUGAAGAUAGAAUGUAUAUGGGAGAUAUAGUCUAUAUACAUGGGAUGGAAAUCUAUAAUGAUAUAUUUCAUGAUAUAAUUGGAUUAUAUCAAUCCCUAAUAAUAGACAAUAGAUGCUAGGAAGUUUCUCAUAUGAUGAUAAACUUCAAUUAGAAGGAAAACUCUAGUGAGACUAAGAAGUUGCUCUUCUCAAAGAGAACGUACUCUUUGACUCCCAAAGAAACAAUGCGUAAAUAGAAUCCUUUAUGCAUACGCAUAAAGGGGAUUUAUGUAUUUCAUAUUGUAUGAAAAACAUUGAUAUGAGUUGUACAUAGAAUGAUACAAGACGAUAUCAGUGCAAGCCCAGGAUCAGAACCAUGGCAACUGUCAAGUGAGUCCUUAAGUAUUUAAGAAAUACUAAAGGAUAGAUUCCUCAAAAAUUGAGGAAGAAUUAGAGUAACGUAAUGGAAGCGUAAAUGUAUUAGAUUAUGAAUCUAAUCCAUCAUUGGAUGUUUCUUCACUUUGAAUGAAAAGAUAAUCAGAUAUCUCUUUAUUAUGACUAAAGAGAUAUUUGGAUGGAAACAUUAAAAGUAAUGACUUUAGUGU